rnacentral:rRNA from 1 species
GUAGGGAAUCUUCCACAAUGGACGAAAGUCUGAUGGAGCAACGCCGCGUGAGUGAAGAAGGUCUUCGGAUCGUAAAACUCUGUUGUUAGAGAAGAACGUGCAUGAUAGUAACUGAUCAUGUAAUGACGGUAUCUAACCAGACAGCCACGGCUAACUACGUGCCAGCAGCCGCGGUAAUACGUAGGUGGCAAGCGUUGUCCGGAUUUAUUGGGCGUAAAGGGAACGCAGGCGGUUUUUUAAGUCUGAUGUGAAAGCCUUCGGCUUAACCGAAGAAUAGCAUUGGAAGCUGGAAGACAGGAGUGAAGAAGAGGAGAGUGGAAUUCCAUGUGUAGCGGUGAAAUGCGUAGAUACCAUCAGGAACACCGAUAGCGAAGGCAUUGUACUGGCCGACAACUGACGCUGAUGCACGAAAGUGUGGGGAUCGAACAGGAUUAGAAACCCUAGUAGUCC